rnacentral:lncRNA from 1 species
UUUUUUUUUUUUUUGACUGCUCCAUAACAUAUGGAGUUCUCCAGCCAGGGAUGCAAUCUGAACUGCAGCUGCAGCAACGUCAGAUCAUUUAACACACUGCUGUGGGACAGGGAUCAAACUUGCUUCCUGGAUCAACUGAGAUGAUGGUGAUCCCAUUGUGCCACAGCAGGAACUCUAAAUAUUUUCUUUGUACUAAUUUUAUUUUAAGUGGUAUAAGAAUUAAACUUCAAAUUCAUUUUAGUUAUCCAUAGACUAUCAAUGGUAUUUUAUAAGCAAAAGAAUUGCUUAUAGAAUGUAUAAGCAAAAGAUGACAGUAGAAAUUUCAAAUUGAGACUAUCUUACAACUAUUAAAAUAACAUUAAUAAAAAUAAACAUUCAUACAUAUCUAAUUGUAAUAUCAUAUCAGGUAAAAAAAAGAAGCUAAAAUGAAAUCGUUUGACAAUUACACACUAGAUAAAAUUUUAACCAAGAAUUCAUAAAGAUCUAGAUCCAAUACCUAGAUUAAAUGAAACAGAAAUUUGUUAUAUUUAAAUAAAAUUAUGGAUCGGUUAAGUUUUACCUAAGAUUCCAAAGUAUGAAGUAUUACUAUAAAAGAUGACAUUUCUAGGAUGUAUUACUAAAGAUACCCAUGGUUAAGAGUACGGUUACUGGAUCUAUAGGGGUCGUAUUCCACCAUAGGCCUUAUUAGGCCAGUGACCUUGAAAAAUGUAUAUUACUUCCUGGUACCUCAAUCUUUAAAUCUUGAAAAGAGAUAUUCAUAGCACUACCUCAUAGAAUUUUAUGAAGAUUUAAUUUAUUAAAUGUAAAGCAUAUUGUAAAUGCUCUCUACUACUACUCAACUGUGGCAAUAUAAAAUCAAAGAUAAUUGCAAAUCAAAAAGAUAUUUCUAGCAUUUAUUGAAAAAGGAAGUUCUACAGAUUUUUUUUACUUUUUAAAAUGAAAUAACUUGCACAAAUAUUUGGAUGCUAAUUUCUGUCAUUGAAGAUAAGCACUUGUAUGAUUUAGAGAAAAGAAGUUAAUAUAGGUGAUAAUCACAGAUUAUUUAGUUUUAUUAUUAACCUUAAACAUUUUGGGGAAAUUAUUUGUUAGAAUUCACUAUUUUUCCAUUUUUUGUAAUGCCUAGUUAUGACAAAAGAAAGCUUGAAAAUUUUGGGUCUCACUACAUAAUUUCAAAAAACACAAAAUUUGCACAAACUAUAACAAUCUGAAUCCUUGCAUAAGUGGAUGAACACAGUGCAUUUCUUCCUUAUUGUUAUUAUUUUUUGUUGUAGCUAUCAGCAUUGUCUGCUUCCUUUCCAACUUUGGUAUACCAUUGAAGGUUAAUCUUCAAAUUUUAUCCUCUCUAAGAAACUUUUCCAGGAACAUAGCAAACUAAAUUAUCCAUCUCCUCAGUCUUUGACCUUAUAAUUCCAGCUUUCCAUAAGCAUAGUGAUUCUACAAUUGAAUAAUAUUUAUACUUAGCCUAGAUCUCAAACAUCUAUCUUAUAAAACACUCAUGUAACGUCUAAAAGUUAGUGGACAAAUGUCAACGUGACAGAAGACAUGUAACAAGAUUGGAAUUUAUUUUUUCAGAUGAAGGAGCUAAAGAAUGUUUUAAACCAAACAUGCACUUCUUUCAACAUUCAUAUUUUAUCCUUUUGUACCUUGCUCCUUGAGCCUCUUUUCUCUUUUCCUAUUACACAUCUUAGUCCUCUGCUUCUGGAAAAUACUUCACUUAUUAUUAACAAAAUUAAUGAAAUAUUUAAUUUUACAAAAUAAUAAUUCUAUUUGCUAGGGGAGAAAUAGUUUAGUCUCUCUUUAACUUUUUAAUAUGGAAAGCUAAAUAUCUGACAUCCCAAAUGCCUGGCAACUAUAUUCAAUUAUGUGAUUAAAUAAUUAUCAAGUCUAGUAUGUACCAGGACAUUUAAUGUAGCAAGAACUGGAGAAGACAUCCCUGUUUUAAAGAACCAAUUGUCCUCUCACUUCAUUCUUAUUCUUCCUUUUGUCUUGCUUUUGUUAUUUCUUUUUUUAAAGAUUUUUAUUUUUUCUAUUAUAUUUGAUUUAUGAUGUUCUGUCAAUUUUUUGCUGUACAGUAAAGUGACCCAAUCAUACAUAUUGGUUAUUCUUUUUCUGAAUCUAUCACUUUUGAUGGAACAUUAUGAAGAAUAAUGUGAGGAAAAGAAUAUAUUUUGCUAUUUAAAUUCAGCCAUUCAUUUAAUCAUUAUUUACCAGGCAUUAUGUUAGAUACUAGAUAUACAAGGGUAACCUAGAAAGAUAAAACCCAUGCUAGAUUUUCACAGUAGUGCAGUGUUGUUAUAAACAGAGAAUUAAAUUGGAAAUCAAGAUAACAUUAUCUUAGACAUUGUGUGUAUUUUUUUAUAUUUAAUAGAUCAGCCCCAUAUUAUAGUUCUUUUAUCUAUAAAAUAAAAAGGAGUCAUUAAUUUAUUCAUUUAAUGAACAUUUACUGUGUUCAGGUCUAUUAUGUUCCAUAUACAAAAGUAAAAGACCUAAAUACAUAAACCUUGUUCUUGGAGGGCUUACAAUCUGUGAAGAGUGGGGAUAAACAUACAAGGUAAAUGUUGUAAUAAAUAUAUGCAUAAAAGAUACAGAAGCAAAUGGGGAAGGUGGUCAGGGACUUCAGGUGUCAGCAAAGUUUUGCUGAUGCAGACAACACUGGAGUUUAUUAUGAAGACAAAGUCUAUGUCUUUUGAAGGAAUAAGAAAAUUAAAUGCAGAGCAAUUCAGAUAAGCAAGAUACACAAGCCAACAUACUGGAAACUACCAUCCAGGAUGGUAGGACAUGAGGAUUUAAGGUGCUGGAGUUCAUGUCAUGGCUCAGUGGUUAACGAAUCUGACUAGGGACCAGGAGGUUGUGGGUUUGAUCCCUGGCCUUGCUCAUGAGUAUACAUAUAUACACACAUUCUUUUUCAGAUUCUUUUCCUUUAUAGGUUAUUACAAGAUAUAGUUCCCAAUAGGUCCAUGUUGUUUAUCUAUUUUAUAUAUAGUAGUUUGUAUCUGUCACUCCCAUAUAUUCUUUAUCUAUUCAUAUGUCUGUGGACAUUUAGGCUGCUUAUAACUAAUUAUUUUUGUAAAUCAAUAAAGAACUUUUUCUAUUGUAAUAGGAUUAAAUAAAUCAGCACAUUCAGAUUUAUUUUAUUUUGAUGGUUAAAAUUAAAACAAUUAUAUGUUAAACUUGUUUUUGGUUCUUCUGGUAAUAUUAAAUUUAAGAUUUUUCAUUUUGUAGUACAUUAUUACCUACACAUGUAUAUUAUCAUGUGGGCCUGUAUAUAUAUGUGUGUGUGUGUGUGUGUGUACUUGAUGAAAUAUUAAGCAUAAUGUUUAAUCUUGAACUGUAAAUGUGUAACCCUACUGGAAAAUACUAUAUAUAUAUAUAAAACAUAUAUAUAUAUAUGUUUUAAUUUUUAUGUAUUUAUUUUUUACAUCCUGGUGUUUGAUAAUAUGCUUGUGCUGUUGGCUGCAAAAUAUAUGCAGACUACUGUACUAAAUGUACUUAAUAUGGCAUAUGCAUGGAAGUUCCCAGGCUAAGGGCCAAAUAGGAGAUGCAGCUGCCAGCAUAUGCCACGGCUACAGCAACUCAGGAUCCCAGCUGCAUCUGCGACCUACACCACAGCUUGUAGCCAUGCUGAAUCCUAAUGAGCGAGGCCAGGGAUCAAAUUCACAUCUUCAUGGACACUAUCUCAGGUUAUUAACCCACUGAGCCAUAAUGGGAACUCCUACAUUUAUAUCUAUGUUCAUUUACAAAAUAUUAUCAAUUUUCAUUUUUAAUACCCUAUUAUCUAAUAUACUUAUUUAGCUCAGUUCCUCCUUCCACUAAUCUUCAGCACUUUUGGAAAUGGAUAGUCCCUCUGCUAGAGGCUGGAUAGGAGAAGAAAAUGGGAAAGCCCCAACAGGUUACACAUAUAUUCGGGUAGGUUCAUUGCAGUUUUUUUUUUUUUUUUUACUUUUGCUCUAUAGUUAUGUUGUUAUUAUUUAUAUCUUUACUAUCUCUUCUUACAUGCUAUAUAUCAUAUCUGUUUAAAAGCCAUGAUUCCAAAGGAAGGGUUUAGGUAUCUUCUUUCUCCUUCAUUCCACAGAGAUACUGAUUGGUUCCUAGCUUGGUGUAAUUCUGUCUUGAUUUUGUGACUAGUGUUAGUGUGAGUCUAAAAGUAAUGUAUCAGAAUCCUGCAUUGGAAAGUAAGGGAGUUUGAUAAUAUGCUUGUGAUUUUGGCUGCAAAAUAUAAGCAGACUGCUGUAUUUAAUGAAAACUUCAACCUUCAUCUGGCCUCUGCACACAUUGACUAGGUUCUAUUGAGAUAGUCCAGAUGUGACAGAUACAUGAAUCCCACUGAGCUGAUCUUUAUCCUGGAGGAAAUCCCAGAAUAUUCUGGCCAGAGAAGGUGAAAGAAAGCACUUAGAGUUACAUCAUAUACAAUGUUAAGUCCAGAAGCAAUAAUGAAUAGCUUGCUUUGUUUAUUUUUAUGUGAGAAUUUUAGGACAACACCCAUUGUGAAAUGCCAUAAGGCAUGUGUAUCAUUAAAAAUAAACAAAAUGUUAAAAACUAAAAGUCAUUUUAAUUAGCAUAUCAAUAAAUAAAAUCUCAAAAGAACAGAUGUCCCCUGCUUUGUGCCCAGAAGUUUGAUGAACUGGAGCUCAGUCAGGUCAAGGAAAAAAAAAGAAAGUAAGAAAAGAAAAAGAAAGU